rnacentral:lncRNA from 1 species
CUUUUCUCCCCACAAAUUCGAAUAUUACCCCAAAGGUAUGAAAAGUUAUUCCACCAGCAAAGAAACUCGAAGGAAUUUGCUUGGGAUGUUGAGGGUCUUUUGCAAAAUAAGAGUCCCUAGAGAUGUUUUGAGCCUUGCUGGUGUUCUCUGGGGACAGUGCUCCAGGAAUUCUAAACCAGAAUUUAGAGAUGGAAGAAGUCACAAUGAACUUAUAAUGCCACCUUCACCCUCAUGGGUGGUGUCACUUCCCCAAGGGCAUGCCACAUGUUCCCUCAAUUGUGUCUUGACUUGCUCAGAGAAGAACCUUUUGUUUUCAUGCCACGCUCAAGUCAGUGGGAACAAAUUCCUCUUUACUGUGGAAUCUGGAAAGGUUCCUCUUGACGGGAUGAUCAGACAUUUGGAGAGUGCACUGAGUAGAAUAUGGCCUCACUAUUCAAUUCUUUCUUUCCCCCUCAAAUGCCCACCUAUGGUGACGGAGGUACUUUUGAGCAAAAGAAGGUCGCCGAUAGGAGUUACUCUCUCCCAGCUUGAUGGUGAUUCGUGUCCUGCUACUCACGUGGAAAGCUUGCUGAGAGAGAACCAUUUGUUUGACAAGACUUCAGCGCUGUCAUUUCUAAAAGCAAGAUCUACUGAAGAUACUAGAGUGUGGAGACAGAGGGAAGAAGUCCAUGGAGAGAAAUGUGGGCAAAUCAAGUGGUUGACUUGCCUGCAAUGGGAUUCUCCAAGUCAGGAGGCUGGGUUACAGUCAGGUCUGGGGCAGCUUCUGGUGGUGCCCAAAGGGGUGGAAGGAUCUUGGAGGGAUAGCCAAGGAUUGCACCUGGUGACAUGUUCUCAGCCUGACAUUUACAACCUGUCCAGAAGUUCCUUCCAUGGCUCCAAGCACAGCAUGAAAGUAGCAAAGAGGAGGGCUGGAAGGGACCACAAGGACAUACCAGUGGACAUCUCUGCCAUGAGAGAGUGGACAUCCUGCUGAGGCCCAUGGGUGCCUCUUCAAGCUGUUGACCUUGUGUAAGUUUCUGAAAAGUCAGCCCUGCCCCUGAGUGGGGGGUUGGGAGAGAAAAAUAAAACUGAAGUCCCAACACCCCA